UUGAACGCUGGCGGCAGGCCUAACACAUGCCAGUCGAGCGGAUGAAGGGAGCUUGCUCCUGGAUUCAGCGGCGGACGGGUGAGUAAUGCCUAGGAAUCUGCCUGGUAGUGGGGGAUAACGUCCGGAAACGGGCGCUAAUACCGCAUACGUCCUGAGGGAGAAAGUGGGGGAUCUUCGGACCUCACGCUAUCAGAUGAGCCUAGGUCGGAUUAGCUAGUUGGUGGGGUAAAGGCCUACCAAGGCGACGAUCCGUAACUGGUCUGAGAGGAUGAUCAGUCACACUGGAACUGAGACACGGUCCAGACUCCUACGGGAGGCAGCAGUGGGGAAUAUUGGACAAUGGGCGAAAGCCUGAUCCAGCCAUGCCGCGUGUGUGAAGAAGGUCCUCGGAUUGUAAAGCACUUUAAGUUGGGAGGAAGGGCAGUAAGUUAAUACCUUGCUGUUUUGACGUUACCAACAGAAUAAGCACCGGCUAACUUCGUG
rnacentral:rRNA from 1 species